rnacentral:lncRNA from 1 species
UCCAAUCUCAUCUUCCGCUCCUCUCUCCAGUUCAUUCUCUUCUACUAUGCAUUUCAUUUUAGAGUUUAUAUGGUUAUUAGAUUUUGUUUUCUUAUAUUACAAAUGGGAAUUCUGUGAUCAGUAGUGGUGAGUCAGAUAGUUGCAGAUUGAGCGGCUCCAUAACAGAGUCAACAGCAGGUGCCGAUCCAUGGCGUCCUGACUGCCGCUUGGAGCCCAGAUUUAGUUAAACGGGAGAAGACCCAUGAAACUCACCGUUGUUUCAUGACACAAUAACCCGUUUAUAUUUAAUUUGUCUUAUUUCCUCGACAUUUUUUUGGAGAAUAAAAAAUGUUAAGCAAACGGUAAGACUUUUAAAGCUAACAGUUGAAAGCGGGCAUCCAGUCAGACACGGGUGUUUGUUGUUUUACAAUAGCAAUCCACCUUUUGCAUGGUGCCCAAAGCUAGCUGCUUACACGAUUGGAGGCCGCCUUUCUUUCUUCAUGGUUUCCUUCAAAUUUAAAGCAGCUAAAUAUGUAUGUAUAUAUAAAUAUGUAAUUUUUGUAUUAUUGGUAUUGAGUAAUUUGUAUUAAUGGCUCCACAAUCGAGUCAGCAGUGAGAGCCUUUUUCGAGACGCCUUGUCUGCCGCUUGGAUUCAAAAGAAAUUUACUGGAAGACUAUUGCUUGAAAUAUUUUCUAAUUUUAUGUAAGAAAUUUUACAAAUUUCAGCCUACAUUUCACCAUCAAUUCCUUUUACUUUUGUACCCUUCAUCUCGUCAGUUUCAUUAGCAGCCAUUUUUGGAGUUGAAGGUGUCUUCUGUUCCACCACAGCAUUUCCCCCUUAUUUUUUGGUCUUGCUGAAGAACUCUGAUCGGACAUUUUUUUGAAUCUUGUAAAGUCUGACUAAACAUACACAAGCAAACAAGAAAUCUAAUACGAGAGUUGUUAGAGGACAAAUUAACUGUUGUAAUAUUAAUCAUCUCAUCAUAUUAUUUAGCCUCGAAAGGAAAAUGAAACCAAAGAUGGAACUUCCACCUAUCAAUCUUAAAACUCAGAAUCAAUUAAUCAUUGCCUUUUCUCACCUUACAGAGAAUAUCAGCAGAUUGGUAUUUGCUGUGGUGUAAUGAUGUUGCGUCGAUUAUUUCGAUGAAGCAGUACCGUCUGUCUCUGCUAAAGACCUUAAGGAAGAAGAGAUGAGUGAACUGAAUUGGAAAUUUUACAAAAAAAGAAAAGAAUAAAACUGGCUCUUCUUGGUGGAAGAAAUAGAACGUUGUUGGGAGUAAAUAAUUUGAUGUUGAGAAAACA